UGCCAGCCGCCGCGGUAAUACGGAGGGGGUUAGCGUUGUUCGGAAUUACUGGGCGUAAAGCGCGCGUAGGCGGUCAACCAAGUUGGGAGUGAAAUCCCGAGGCUUAACCUCGGAACUGCUCUCAAAACUGGUAGACUAGAGAUUGGUAGAGGAUAGUGGAAUUCCUAGUGUAGAGGUGAAAUUCGUAGAUAUUAGGAGGAACACCAGUGGCGAAGGCGACUGUCUGGGCCAAUACUGACGCUAAGGCGCGAAAGCGUGGGGAGCAAACAGGAUUAGAUA
rnacentral:rRNA from 1 species